rnacentral:tRNA from 1 species
ACCUCACCCGGUAUGGUGGUUAUGACAUUUGGCUUAUAAUCGAGUGGGUUCGGGUUGGAAUCCCGAGUAAGGUA